rfam:Asian citrus Psyllid, Diaphorina citri - Florida Strain, whole genome shotgun sequence.
GCCUAGUUAGUUUGGUUGGUAGUGCGUCCGGCUUGUAAGCGCUAGGCCACGGGUUCGAUUCCCGCACAAGGCA